rnacentral:sRNA from 1 species
CUGAACUUUUGGUGAUAACAGUAUCACCAAGCACUUUCCCUGGGGACAGCAACAAGUGUCCCUUCAAAGACAUGCUGACUCCACCUCACUUGCUUCUCACCUGGUGGAUCAGAGGAACCAGCUGUAAUACAGAAUGUCCUUCUUUUUGGUGACUGCUAACAUACUUCUUCACAGUGCAGUGUCUACAGAGGAGCUGCGGGCCCACCCAUUCACUGAUGUUACCCUCUCCUGUCAUUUCUCCUUUGUGAAGGGCACCGAAAAUCUUGAGUUUUCUUGGGAAAGAGAAGACAUCAAAGAGGCAUAUGAGGUAGAGGAUAAUAAAGAAUAUUACCUCCUUUUCAAGUACUAUGAUUUUUUUGAAGUUUUCUCGAAGUUGGUUUACCAGUUUCACAAUAACACAGAGCAACUAGAAGAUCAAAAUUCCUUGUAUGAGGGAAGAGUAUCUGUGGACCAGGCUGAAAUUUCUGAGGGGACUCUAUCACAUUUACUAAGAAAUGUGGACUUCAUGAAUGAAGCUAUCUACAAGUGCUCAGCCAUCACACCAGAUGGAAGAAGUGAAAGUACAAUUAAGCUAAUAGUAGAAGACUCUGAAAUGCCCCAGGUGCAGUUUGACAGGAUUGAUAAUGAGGAUGUGGCCACAUGCAUCUCAAAGGACUGG